AGCGUUAAAAAAAAAAUGGCCAGGGUGCAGUUAGAUGAACUCAUUUCAUGUAAUGACUGCAACAGUCAUUGAAUGGGAUCAAAACAAAACAGGAAACUGGGACAAAAAGAAGAAAAGGUGUGAAAAAAGGAAGAGGAAAGAAUGGCAUUUUCACCAUCUCCAGGUGGCUGUAUUUUUAGAGAGAGGGGAGGAAGUGAGACAGACGCAGAGUCAACAAAGCAGAGGAAGGAAACAGAUAGCUGAAAACGAGGUGUCGUUUUUGCUGCUGUUGACCAGAGCGCAUGGGAAAGACUAGCAAAAGGCACUAUCAUAGUUCAAGGACACUUUCCAGCCAAGCAAAACCACUUGAAGCAUGAAGACUGGCCAGUGAAGAGGUGUGGCCUGCAGAGAGGGCAAGAUAGAGAGUCAUUGAAGGCCACAUUUGGGCCCCAGGCCUGAGGUUCUAUAGGAUCUACGGGAUCAUCUCUUGUUCAUGAUUCUGUUUGCUGUUCACCAAAUCAGGCUCUGUUGGAAGUAUCACAGGAGACUUACUCGCUUGAUGUUACAGAAGAUGAGGAUUAAGAGAAUCCAAAAGAAGAUGGCAAUGACACCUGUCCCAAUUAAGAUCACAAUCUCCACAUUGGUCCUGUCAUCCGAGCCUACAGGCUUAGGGGGUUGAAGUUAGUAAUAGUACCUUCUACAGAGACACUGGCGGAGGAAUUCACACAACCCUUGGCAUUGCAGACACUGCACAGAUAUCUUCAACCAGCCAUACCUGAGACCUCUUCCACAAGCUUCUCAUCCUUAUACCAGCUGAUGUUUGGAAUGUGUGUGCCAU